rnacentral:lncRNA from 1 species
CUUGGCUCAAUUUUGUUUGAUCAAAAAGCAAGAUUCGAAUCAAAUCGAAUCUAAUUUAAAGAGCUAGGAUUUUCACACGUGUUAGUAUGCUUUUUAGUAAUCUGAUUGGAUCCAAAAUUUCAAUCAAUCAUAUCAAAUGGGUUCUUGAUAAUUUUUUUAUGUAUGUGACCCAUUGGGUUCCACGUCUAGCCAACAGUAGGUUCUAAUGCAUGUUGAUCUAAUCUGAUUAGAAUCCUUCUAAUCGAUUAAGAUCCAAAAAAUGUCGACCC